ensembl:lncRNA
CAGAGAGCUUCCUUUGUUCCAAUCAGCCCCAGAUGAACUAGGAUUGUCCGGUUGGAAUGCCAUUCGUUUUGUACGUUUAUAACAUCCUGAAGCUUGAUUCUGCACUUAGUUUGACCAGUUUUGUCGACCUGUAAUAUGUAAUUUGGAAGUUUUGAUGCGCAAUUAUUCUGGACCAGAAGUCAUUUUUUGGGCAUUUGAGCUGAAAGGGGUAGCAUAUGCUACUACAUGGACACUAGAAUUGAACAUUAUGAAACAAAACGAUGUAUUGGUGAUGCGCGACAGAAGCAACUUACUGACCGGGGAGAUCGAGAGCCGAGCUCUCCUCCUCCUGUUGGGUUUCCCUCCCCUCCAGCUCUCCUCUUCCUGUUAGAGGCAUUACAGCCCUGAGCUGCUGCUGCAGUCACAGAGCAGACUUGGAUCUCUGUUAAUGAGAUCCAUCAGCACUACUUACGGGCUUCUCCAGAAGAGGUGGAUGGAGCGACAGAACCAAACAGAGGAGGCUUCCCACUCAUCAACAGAGAGAACCUUAUGCUCUUGGAAUUGUGACCCUCUUUCCUUCGUCGAGAGAUCCCUUUUCCGCCAAAGGCUAUGAACACUUCUAUGAUCCUGAUAUCUAUAAUGAUAUCUGAAUUAUCGCCUGAAGACCGUAUCAAGGAAGAGUUCACUUCGACCCAUCAAGUAGAGUAUUUCACCCCAGUCGGGGGGCCCAGCCCAUGAGAGGAGGACUGGCCUGGACCAACAGAUUGUUGAUGAUGCUUACAAGGAGGCCAUAUCAUUCCUUGUCCACUCUGCCAAUGAAAAACAAAUCUACCAGUAGAUGGAGGUGUUCCAGUAUUGCCAGGAACGAGUUUAUAGUCCAGAAAGAAGCACAGAUGUCCUCACAGUCUUUCCCAGGUUUCUGGACAUCAAAGGAUUGGUGAAUCAGGACUUUUUGCAGAUGUUUGACGAUGAAACAUCCUCUAAGCUCCUUGAAAAGUGGGGCACUGUAUUGAAGCCUAAAGUCAUCAAACUGGCAAAAUUCCUGACUACGACUUCCAAUUUGCAUUGCCUCCUGAAGUUUGCAGAAAUACUGCCAGGGAAUGACAGUGAAGCCAACUGGGACAAUGAUAUGUCCUCCCUGCUGCUUCAUCUCCUCCCACCAGCAGCAGGAGGGAAGAGGAC